rnacentral:sRNA from 2 species
AGAUACUUCAUUGGGGAGUAGCCGCCUUUGACGCAAGUUCAAAGGGUGAUGGUCAACAUAUUUGCUCUAAACCGAGCAUGGUCAUCAUAGCAAAGAACCAAAUGAGCUUAUCUCUUAAGCUUUCUUUUGUUGGCAAGACCUUUGAU